rnacentral:rRNA from 1 species
GACGAACGCUGGCGGCGUGCUUAACACAUGCAAGUCGAACGAUGAACCAGGGCUUGCCCUGGGGAUUAGUGGCGAACGGGUGAGUAGCACGUGGGCAACCUGCCCCAGACACCGGGAUAACCACUCGAAAGAGUAGCUAAUACCGGAUACGACCACUUUGGGCAUCCAACGGUGGUGGAAAGGAUUCUGGUCUGGGAUGGGCCCGCGGCCUAUCAGCUUGUUGGUGGGGUAAUGGCCUACCAAGGCGACGACGGGUAGCCGGCCUGAGAGGGCGACCGGCCACACUGGGACUGAGACACGGCCCAGGCUCCUACGGGAGGCAGCAGUGGGGAAUAUUGCGCAAUGGGCGAAAGCCUGACGCAGCGACGCCGCGUGAGGGACGAAGGUCUUCGGAUUGUAAACCUCUUUCAGCAGGGACGAAGCGAAAGUGACUGUACCUGCAGAAGAAGCACCGGCUAACUACGUGCCAGCAGCCGCCGUAACAC